rnacentral:rRNA from 1 species
GACGAACGCUGGCGGCGUGCUUAACACAUGCAAGUCGAGCGGUAAGGCCCUUUCGGGGGUACACGAGCGGCGAACGGGUGAGUAACACGUGGGUGACCUGCCCUCAGCUCCGGGAUAAGCCUGGGAAACCGGGUCUAAUACCGGAUAUGACUCCAUGACGCAUGUUGUGGGGUGGAAAGCCUUGUGCGGCUGAGGAUGGGCCCGCGGCCUAUCAGCUUGUUGGUGGGGUGANGGCCUACCAAGGCGACGACGGGUAGCCGGCCUGAGAGGGCGACCGGCCACACUGGGACUGAGACACGGCCCAGACUCCUACGGGAGGCAGCAGUGGGGAAUCUUGCGCAAUGGGCGAAAGCCUGACGCAGCGACGCCGCGUGAGGGAUGACGGCCUGGUGU